CCUAAAGCAUAUAUUGAAGAUGAACGCCCACCAUUCAAUGCUCCAGCGAAAUCAUAUCCUUUCGGGUUAAGAGAGCUAAUCCAGGAUUGUUGGGACAAAGAAGCAU